rfam:Danio rerio chromosome 4, GRCz11 reference primary assembly.
GGCGCUGUGGCUUAGUUGGUCAACGUGCCUGUCUAGUAAACAGGAGAUCCUGGGUUCAAAUCCCAGCAGUGCCU